AGUCGAGCGGAGAUGAGGUGCUUGCACCUUAUCUUAGCGGCGGACGGGUGAGCAAUGCUUAGGAAUCUGCCUAUUAGUGGGGGACAACAUUCCGAAAGGAAUGCUAAUACCGCAUACGUCCUACGGGAGAAAGCAGGGGAUCUUCGGACCUUGCGCUAAUAGAUGAGCCUAAGUCGGAUUAGCUAGUUGGUGGGGUAGAGGCCUACCAAGGCGACGAUCUGUAGCGGGUCUGAGAGGAUGAUCCGCCACACUGGGACUGAGACACGGCCCAGACUCCUACGGGAGGCAGCAGUGGGGAAUAUUGGACAAUGGGGGGAACCCUGAUCCAGCCUGCCGCGUGUGUGAAGAAGCCUUAUGGUUGUAAAGCACUUUAGCGAGGAGGAGGCUACUGAGACUAAUACUCUUGGAUAGUGGACGUUACUCGCAGAAUAAGCACCGGCUAACUCUGUGCCGCAGCCGCGGUAAUACAGAGGUGCGAGCGUUUAUCGGAUUUCUGGGCGUAAAGCGUGCGUAAGCGGCUUUUUAGUCGGAUGUGAAAUCCCCAGCUUAACUUGGGAAUUGCAUUCGAUACUGGGAAGCUAGAGUAUGGGAGAGAUGGUAGAAUUUCGGUGUAGCGGUGAAAUGCGUAAAUCUGGAGGAAUACCGAUGGCGAAAGCAGCAUCUGGCUAAUACUGACGCUGAAGUACCAAAGCAUGGGGGAGCAAACAGAUUAGAUACCCGGUAGUCCAUG
rnacentral:rRNA from 1 species